rnacentral:rRNA from 1 species
GACGAAGGGGGCUAGCGUUGUUCGGAAUUACUGGGCGUAAAGCGUGUGUAGGUGGUUGCCGUAGUCAGGUGUGAAAGCCUUGAGCUCAACUCAAGAAAUGCACUUGAUACUGGGCAGCUAGAGGACCGGAGAGGAUAGUGGAAUUCCCAGUGUAGUGGUGAAAUACGUAGAGAUUGGGAAGAACACCAGUGGCGAAGGCGGCUAUCUGGACGGUUUCUGACACUAAGACACGAAAGCGUGGGGAGCAAACAGG